GAUGAACGCUAACUACAGGCUUAACACAUGCAAGUCGAGGGGAAACGAUAUUGGAAGCUUGCUUCUGAUAGGCGUCGACCGGCGCACGGGUGAGUAACGCGUAUCCAACCUGCCCAUCACUUGGGGAUAACCUUGCGAAAGUAAGACUAAUACCCAAUGACGUCUCUAGAAGACAUCUGAAAGAGAUUAAAGAUUUAUCGGUGAUGGAUGGGGAUGCGUCUGAUUAGCUUGUUGGCGGGUAACGGCCCACCAAGGCGACGAUCAGUAGGGGUUCUGAGAGGAAGGUCCCCCACAUUGGAACUGAGACACGGUCCAAACUCCUACGGGAGGCAGCAGUGAGGAAUAUUGGUCAAUGGACGAGAGUCUGAACCAGCCAAGUAGCGUGCAGGAUGACGGCCCUAUGGGUUGUAAACUGCUUCUAUAAGGGAAUAAAGUGGGAGUCGUGACUCUUUUUGCAUGUACCUUAUGAAUAAGGACCGGCUAAUUCCGUGCCAGCAG
rnacentral:rRNA from 1 species